UCACAACAUACAUGACAUGGAAGACGAUUACUCAAAUCAACUCUUAUUGACUAUAUAAACUCAAACACAUACCACUAUUGAGAAUAGAUUCAGUCAACAAGAAAUUUGAUCAUAACACAAAUAAACCACCCUAGAUUCAGUCUCAUUGCUCAAAAAACACUGAAACAAAACAGAAUCGCAUAGAAAUAAAGAGAGAAAAAUUAAACCUAAAGUUGCAAAUCUUCUUUUAUAACAAUGAUAAACUUGAUAAGACAACUCUUGACCCUAAAUCCUAGCGGGGUUUAGCAGCGAAUCAACAAGAAGAUAGUAGAAAACCAAGCUUGAACUUCAAGUUUUAUCUUCUUGGAACUCGAAUCCGUAUUCAAAAAUCAAGAAAAAAUUGUAUAUAUGUUUCUCUUGAACUUUGAAAGAAUUCAUCACAGAAAAUAAACUCCGAAAAACCACUAGUUCCAAGAAACCUUUCAACUUUUUUUCUGAAUUUGUUCACUGAGUCCCCCCUUCACAAAAUCGUAUAAGGCCACUUAUGAAGACGAAUCAUUGAUAAAUGAGGGGCUCGGAUUGAGGGAGAUCAAUCUAACGCCUCACACUCAUCCAGCAUAUCAUUUCCAGAACCUUCCAAUUGUGAUACAAUUCGAAUUCGAGUGAGUGAGGGGGAAACAGAAUCUUGUGUCCGAAAUCGUUAGCAACGGUAAGAUGGGAGAAGGAGGGACGAAAUAUAUAUUUUUUUGUUGACUAUUCCUUUUUUGAAUAGUAAUCUAAAAUGAACAUAAAAUUUUCUAAAUAACAAUAAGCAUUGUUCGAAUGUAUAUCUUUUUCCUGUUCAAAAACUAGAUUAGAGACUGAUAAGAAGAAGAAGAAGAAGAAGAAGAAUCAUUUUUUCAGCUUUUGUCCUCAAAAAUUCCUCUCAAGAUCGAAAACUUCUUCCCCGAAUUAUAAAAGAAGCCUCACCUUAUACCUCUCAUGAAAAUCUUACCUCCCAUUUUAGAAAUCCAAAAUUUUAAAUCUUGAAAUGAGUAAAAGAGAAGUGGAGGGAGUAGAUCGAGUGGGACUCAAUCCUACGCCUCCCAUUCAUCCUAAUCUCAUCUUCAGAUUUUAACUAGGAUAAUAUGAGUGCCUGAGGGAAAAGGAAUAAGAUUUCAUUCGUACAAAAUAAUUAUUUUUUAGUUCAUGUGGAAGGAGAUGAGAGGAGACACCAUGUGAUGGUUAGAUGGGAAUUUACGGUGAAGGUGAGUGGUUGUAGCGCGAUAGAAGUUGGAGGAGGAAUGAAGGCGCCUAAGUGGGUCUUAGAAUUAGGAUUAGGGUUUGGGGAAAAGAUGGCUUAUGUUUAUUUUGGGGAAAAAGACAUGGGUCUUGGAUCAU
rnacentral:lncRNA from 1 species